AGUGAACGCUGGCGGCGUGCUUAACACAUGCAAGUCGAACGAGAACGGAUUAUAGCUUGCUAUAAUUGUCAGCUAAGUGGCGCACGGGUGAGUAAUGUAUAGGUAAUAUGCUUCUUACUAAGGGAUAACAAAUGGAAACGUUUGCUAAUACCUUAUACUCCUAUUAACAUAAGUUAAUAAGGGAAAGAUUUAUUGGUAAGAGAUUAGCCUGUAUUGUAUCAGUUAGUUGGUGGGGUAAUGGCUUACCAAGACUAUGACACAUAACUGGUUUGAGAGGAUGAUCAGUCACACUGGAACUGAGACACGGUCCAGACUCCUACGGGAGGCAGCAGUGGGGAAUAUUGCACAAUGGACGAAAGUCUGAUGCAGCAACGCCGCGUGGAGGAUGACACAUUUCGGUGCGUAAACUCCUUUUAUAUGAGAAGAUAAUGACGGUAUUAUAUGAAUAAGCACCGGCUAACUCCGUGCCAGCCGCCGCCGUAA
rnacentral:rRNA from 1 species